CCCGAGGGCCUUUUGUUUUGUUUGGCUGUUUAACGUGCAGGGAAGGCUGCCCUGAAUGGCUUCGCCGCUCUCAGAGUUGGCGCUGGCAGAUGAAGGCCCUUUUUUUUUUCUUUUGAAGGAAGGAAGGUGUUCUCCCGAUCUGCUAUUUCCUCCGACAUCAAAUAAUUACCCCGAGCGCGGCCGGGCUGAGCAUCUCUAAGUUCUCACUAGGAAUUUCUCUCUAGGUUUUUUAAUAAGCCACGUGACGGUUGUGACAAGCUCCCGAGUGCCCACACCCAGGGCCCGGGAGCUUCUGCCCGGGCUCCUGCCCUUCCCCUCCUGCCCUCUCCUCGAUCCCUUCCCGGGCUGUUUGCAAAAGCCGGGCUCUGGGGCAGGAAAGCCAACCCAACUGUCGCUCGUGCGAGAGGCGGUUGCAGGAGAUCCAAGGUACAAGGUCCGCGACCGGCCCCGCCGCUCUGGGCUUUCCUUUAUCUCCCUCCCGGCCGCUUUUUGACCCCCUCAGCACAAUCCCAGACUUUGCUCUGCCAUAGGUUAAAAAUUGAUAGAGGGGAGGCCGGCCUUUACUUGCCUUUGCCGGUUUACGUUUGAACGCCCCCCUCCCCUUUUCGGCCCCGGGCCCGGCCCACGAUCGCGCUCCCGCCCCCCUGCUCCCCCCGGCCGGGUCCCGGCCGCGCCGCCGGCCGCUCCUUGGCGUCCACGUCGCGGCGCGCGGGCAGCCCCGGACCGGGGCUUCAGGCCCUGCGCGGCUCGGUCCGGGAGGCUGAGAUCAACGAGCCGCUGCGGCUCCAGUGGAAAAAUACCGACGGCGUCUCCGGGCACAUUCUUGGGCCCUGGGCGCGAGCGGCCGCUCCUUCCCAUAGGCUUCGGCGCGGUCAGGUGUGCAGAAGGCGGGCGUGUGCGAGGAGGAGAGCGGAGGAAAGGAGGAAAAAGCAGGCAGGCCCGACGCGCCGAGCCAGUUUUUCCACUCCCAGUCCCUGCGCGGAGAGAGAGGCGGCCGGGCCAGGCCCCGGCGUGCUCGGCUUGCCAAGAGCCGAGGGGCGCCCCCCCCUUCCCUCACGCCAGGGUUCGUGGAAAGCGAAGGCUCACCCCGGGCCCCCGAGGGCCCGAGACCCCCCCGGCCCCGCUUGCCCAAGCGCUGCCUCUCUGUUUUAAGCCCUCGCCAUGCGUCUCCUUUUCAUAAAUAAGUCCUGGGAAGUUUGGGGAAAUCAAUGCACUGGGGAAAACUGGCUCGGAAGGUUGGCAAGAAAACAACACAGAACCAACCCCGCAUCCCGCACGGGAGCCGCACAACCGGCUCCCGGAGAGCCGGCCCAAGGCAGCGGGAGGGAGAGCAAGUUCAACGCUGCUCCUGUCGGGAGGGGGACCCGGCCCCUCCGCGGGUCUCUGAGAUCAGCAGAGCUCUCUAAAGCCUAUUUUAAACAAACCAUUUACUUCCGAAUGACAGCAAAGCAGUGCUGCUUUGCUUAUGAUCGUGUCAAAUUGGGGGUGAGGGCAGGAGGAAAAGCGCUGUCUUGCAAAUCAAGGGGCCGAAUGGGCAAAAUCUGAAGCCGGGCCCAAGAGGUCUCGUCCACACCUUAAGCCGUUGCCGCACAGGGAGGGGAAUAACCCCCAUCCCCAACUGGCAUCACUGGGCAGAUCCCAGCUACACAAAUAACAGAGGCUGUGGAAACCCGGAUUAUCCUCUGAAAGGUUUCCUUACAGCCCCCCCUUCCCCCCCAUGAAUAUGUCUUCCUUCUCGAAAAUUAUCCAUGGCACAAUAGCCUAUCCUAGGGUGCUAUUCACCAGGAGAAGGGACUGGAUAAGAUGACAAGACAAGGCCUGGAGAUUGGCAAAUUCUUAGGGCAGGCGGGAGGAGGAACAUCUCCCGCAGGGUUUCCCACUUUGAUUUGUUUGGGUGAAGGGUUGAGCGUGUGGGGGAAGGCAGGCUUAGGACAAGGGUGGGUUUCUUUCCUAAAGGAGCCUAUCUUCAGUAGCUGAGCUGCAAGAAAGAAACUGAAUGUGAAAAUCUG
rnacentral:lncRNA from 1 species